AGCCCUUCGGGGUGGAUUAGUGGCGAACGGGUGAGUAACACGUGGGCAAUCUGCCCUGCACUCUGGGACAAGCCCUGGAAACGGGGUCUAAUACCGGAUACGAGCCUCCCGGGCAUCUGGGAGGUUGGAAAGCUCCGGCGGUGCAGGAUGAGCCCGCGGCCUAUCAGCUUGUUGGUGAGGUAACGGCUCACCAAGGCGACGACGGGUAGCCGGCCUGAGAGGGCGACCGGCCACACUGGGACUGAGACACGGCCCAGACUCCUACGGGAGGCAGCAGUGGGGAAUAUUGCACAAUGGGCGAAAGCCUGAUGCAGCGACGCCGCGUGAGGGAUGACGGCCUUCGGGUUGUAAACCUCUUUCAGCAGGGAAGAAGCGAAAGUGACGGUACCUGCAGAAGAAGCGCCGGCUAACUACGUGCCAGCAGCCGCGGUAAUACGUAGGGCGCAAGCGUUGUCCGGAAUUAUUGGGCGUAAAGAGCUCGUAGGCGGCUUGUCGCGUCGAUUGUGAAAGCCCGGGGCUUAACUCCGGGUCUGCAGUCGAUACGGGCAGGCUAGAGUGUGGUAGGGGAGAUCGGAAUUCCUGGUGUAGCGGUGAAAUGCGCAGAUAUCAGGAGGAACACCGGUGGCGAAGGCGGAUCUCUGGGCCAUUACUGACGCUGAGGAGCGAAAGCGUGGGGAGCGAACAGGAUUAGAUACCCUGGUAGUCCACGCCGUAAACGGUGGGCACUAGGUGUUGGCGACAUUCCACGUCGUCGGUGCCGCAGCUAACGCAUUAAGUGCCCCGCCUGGGGAGUACGGCCGCA
rnacentral:rRNA from 2 species